rnacentral:lncRNA from 10 species
GGAAGAUGGCUGUUCUGGGAUGAAUGCUUUUCUCCAAGGGCAAGGGCAGGGGGAGAGACUGAGGUGAAGAGGCAGCUAGCCAAGAGUUCUGCUCCCCUGGAUCCUCUAGGAUCCCUCAGGGAGCCUGAGAGAGUCACUCAAUUACGGUUCUGUAUUUUGAGAUCUGGAGAUAAAUCUUGCGCAUCAUCAAACCCCACCGUGUCACUUUAUCAAUGAAGGAACGAAGCUCAGAGAGAAAAGCUAACCUGCCCAAGGGCUUCUAAGAGCUGGCAGCGCCACAGGGAUAAAUAAGGCCAACAACCGCACCUUACAUGGCCAUCCCAGCAGCCGCCCGGAAUCCCGAGGAUUACGCAGACUUCUGGAGGACUUGGAACAAGUGCACAUCACCUGCUGCCACCACAAGUGUUGCCCGGGCUUCUGCAGCCUCUGUCCUGUGACUGAGGAAUUUUUAAAUGGAAGCUCUGAGCUCACAAAGAAGAAAAUGUCUCCCUGAUGUCACACAGUUGCUGCCAAUUCAUCAGCUCCAGCUAAAGGUCAGCGAGGGGGAAGCCACUGCCGGAGGGUCUGGCUGCCCCUCCCUGAGAUGGGGCUUCCCUCCUGCAGGCUUGCUGCCAGCCAUCCAGGCCAGCCACAGAAGCUGAGGGCUGCUUGCAUUUCCAGGGCACACACAGAGCAGUACGAACACCGCUUAGCUGCUUCUGCCCUCCUCUGUGCAGAUAUUAACAGAUUCAACCUCCCAGCCCUAUCCUCCCCAGCUCUCCCUUCUGUAGACAGUCAGAGCAAACCCUGGAGUCUUGAUCUAACGUGUCCUGAGGGUCCUUCCCUGGGAUCACUUCAGGAGUAACACUAAAUCACAGAGAGGUUGUCUUGGGUUUUUAAUGACGAAAUGCAGUGGUCAAAAGCUAGGAA